CUCCGCGGCCCUUCGGCGCGUGAGUGACAGCGGCCCAGACGGAGGGGACGAUGUCCGCGGCGUGACUGGGGCCGGUCGCGGGGCAGACUAAUCCCCUGCUCCUGGCCAGGGGAGGCUCCCGAGCGGAACCUCGGGAAAGGGGCUCCGAAGGUCAAGAAAUUGCUCUGCUGGGCGUCCGGGGAGUGGUAAAGUAAAGCACUUUUUGUAUCACGCCCCUCCCACGUCACGUGACCACGCGGGGCGGAAAGAAGAAAUCCGAGGACCAGGCGACGCCUAGAACAGGAGCCCAUGAUGCUGCCCAAACCUGGGACCUAUUACCUCCCCUGGGAGGUUAGUGCAGGCCAAGUUCCUGAUGGGAGCACACUGAGAACAUUUGGCAGGUUGUGCCUCUAUGACAUGAUCCAGUCCAGAGUAACACUGAUGGCUCAGCACGGAUCUGAUCAGCACCAGGUUCUUGUCUGUACCAAGUUGGUGGAGCCCUUCCACGCCCAAGUGGGCUCCCUGUACGUCGUCCUUGGGGAGCUCCAGCAUCAGCAGGACAGAGGCUCCGUGGUGAAGGCGCGCGUGCUGACCUGUGUGGAGGGGAUGAACCUGCCCUUGUUGGAACAAGCCAUCCGGGAGCAGAGGCUGUACAAGCAGGAGCGGGGCGGCAGCCAGUAGGAAACAGCAGCCCAGCAACACCCUCACCUGCUUCUGAGCCCAAACCCUCUGGAGCUGCGGGAGCCCUGGAGGGCACAGACGCCUCCCCAGCAACGGCCUUGUCUGGAGCCCGAAAGCAGAGGGGCGGGUGGUGAAUCCAGCCCUUUCUGCUGCUUUGGGAUUGGCUCAGCAAUGAGAGCCCAGAAAGCAUGCCAUAAAUCCGACAGCCCCACCCUGGGAGACUGCAGGUGGCCGAGCUUGGGCUCUGGGCCGUGCUUGGUGUGGGGCCAUGGAGGGUUCCAGAAGGUCCUGGUGAAUAAAGGCCCAGGGGGCGUGCUCUCAAAGUGUGCUUGUGGUGCAGUGCCGGCGGGGGCCAGAAGGGGGAGCUGCAACCAGGGCUGUGGGCUGCAGCCUCUCAGGGCUUCUGGUGAAUUCUGGGCCUGGGGCCUUAGGGGAGGGUGCCAGGGGCCCAGGGGCUGGGGUGGGAGGCCCAGGUCAGGGGCCCAGGAUGCAGGGGUCUGCCCCUGGCCAGGCUCUGCCUUCAGCGGAGGCUGAUGUGGUCACACGGGCCGAGCCGAGGCCCUGGGCCCUGACCGUGCAGCCUAAGACAGACUGUGGCUUUAAGACCCUCCCGACCCCUGACCUCUGCCCCCAGUGGCCCUGGCCCCUGGGCAGCCCUUCCUGGCCGCCAUGUGUCCCCAGAGCCUGGGCCUGGCUGGGCUGGGCAGUGACCCGGGUGGGAGAGGGUGGUCUUGCCCUUUAAGGCCUGGCACGAGUGAGAGGCCUGGGGUUCCAUGCUGGGCUGGGCUGGGCGAGGGGUGGCCUCUAACUUCCUGGGGGUUCUGGCUGGGCUGGGCAGGGGCUGGGUGGGAGAGUGUGGGCCCUGCCCUCUGAGGCCGGGCAUGCGCGAGAAGCCUGGGGGUCCUGGCUGAGCUGGGCUGGGUGAGGGGUGGCACCUGACCCCCUUGGGGUCCGGGCUGGGCUGGGCUGGGCGAGGAGUGGCCCCUGACCCACUUGGGGUCUGGGCUGGGCUGGGCUGGGCGAGGGGCGGUCUCCGACCCCCAGCCAGGUUCCCAGGCAGGAUGAGCUGGGGUUGGGGUGGCUAGGCCAUGGGCCUUGGGAGGUGGGCAGUCUGGGCAGGGCUGGGCUGGGCUGGGCGCCACAUGGAGGCUGGAGGAGCAACGGGAGCGCUGGGCGUGGGGCGCAAAUCGCCCAGCGCCUUCUGUUUCCCAGGCAGCUCUGUGGCCAUGGAUGUGUUCCAGAAGGUAGAGAAGAUCGGAGAGGGCACCUAUGGGGUGGUGUACAAGGCCAAGAACAGGGAGACAGGGCAGCUGGUGGCCCUGAAGAAGAUCAGACUGGAUUUGGAGAUGGAGGGGGUCCCAAGCACUGCUAUCAGGGAGAUCUCCCUGCUCAAGGAACUGAAGCACCCCAACAUCGUCCGGUGAGUUGGGGAUUGAGGUGGGGAAGCUGGGAUGGCAAAGGUAGCAUCCUGACUGCCAUCUCCCUGCCAGACUGCUGGACGUGGUGCACAACGAGAGGAAGCUCUAUCUGGUGUUUGAGUUCCUCAGCCAGGACCUGAAGAAGUACAUGGACUCCACGCCAGGCUCAGAGCUCCCCCUGCACCUCAUCAAGAGCUACCUCUUCCAGCUGCUGCAGGGGGUGAGUUUCUGCCACUCACAUCGGGUCAUCCACCGAGACCUGAAGCCCCAGAACCUGCUCAUCAAUGAGUUGGGUGCCAUCAAGCUGGCUGACUUCGGCCUGGCUCGAGCCUUCGGGGUGCCCCUGCGCACCUACACCCACGAGGUGGUGACACUGUGGUAUCGUGCCCCCGAGAUUCUCUUGGGCAGCAAGUUCUAUACCACAGCUGUGGAUAUCUGGAGCAUUGGUUGCAUCUUUGCAGAGAUGGUAGAGAGAGGGGCACACAUGGCCACAGGGUGCCACAGGCAGGGUCCUACUGGGGUUGGGUGGGGCCUACUGAUGCUUCCAUUCCAGGUGGAUUAAAGAGUGUUUGGGGCUGGACAUGGUGGCUCACACCUGUAAUCCCAGCACUUUGGGAGGCUGAGACGGGAGGAUUGCUUGAGCCCAGGGGUUUGAGACCAGCCUGGGCAACAUAACAAAUCCCCAGCUCUUAAAAAAAUACAAAAAUUAGCUGGGUGUGGUGGUGCAUGCUUGUAGUCCCAGCUACUCGGGAGGUUGAGGCAGGAGGAUUGCUUGAGCCUGUGGUUGAGGCUGCAGUGAGCUGUGAUCGCACCACUGCACUCUAGCCUGGGUGAUAGAGCAAGACUCCGUCUCUAUUUUUUAAAAAAAGGUGUUUGGUACUGGCUAAAGGACUGAGGAAGGUAGCCUUAUUCCAAAAGAGGCCAGAAUUCUUUGCACAGCCAUGGGAAAGAUAUCUUGACAGGCCUCUCCCUGGGUCUGGCCACUUAUCUGGUAUUGGAUUCUGUAUAACAAAGCGGCGGACCCCACACCUUCUCUUCUUUCCUAUUUCAGGUGACUCGAAAAGCCCUGUUUCCUGGUGACUCUGAGAUUGACCAGCUCUUUCGUAUCUUUCGUAUGCUGGGGACACCCAGCGAAGACACAUGGCCCGGGGUCACCCAGCUGCCUGACUAUAAGGGCAGCUUCCCUAAGUGGACCAGGAAGGAACUGGAAGAGAUUGUGCCCAAUCUGGAGCCAGAGGGCAGGGACCUGCUCAUGCAACUCCUGCAGUAUGACCCCUGCCAGCGGAUCACAGCCAAGACUGCCCUGGCCCACCCGUACUUCUCAUCCCCCGAGCCCUCCCCGGCCGCCCACCAGUAUGUGCUGCAGCGAUUCUGCCGUUGAGAAUGUCAAGGCCACACUCAGAUCCUCUCUCGAGCAGCUGCUGCCCCAGCUGCCUCCUACCCAUUGCCGAGAGAGGAUGCAUCUGGGGAGAGCAAAGCACUAAGGAAUUCAGCGUCAACCUGCAGAGGGCUGAGCCUGGGUUAGUCCUGCCCGCAGGUUAGCGAGAUCCUGUGUUUUUUGGGUUUGACGGUGCUGUUUCAAAAUAGAGGCACAGAUGCUCCAUGCACGAGGGAUCCCCAGGCACUGGAACAAGUGCCAAGUUGAAGGCAGGGGGCCUGCCAGAGCUGGGUGUGGGUAUUCAGGCCCUCACCUGCCCCGCCUGCAGGGCCAGACCCUGAGGAAAGGGCGCCCCCUGCUGGUCUUUUUGGAUUUAAAAUGUUUGGGGGAAGAGUUGAGUUCCAGUUGAGAGUUCCAAGUUAAACAGGAGGGAGUGAGGGAGAGGAGAGAGGGCAUUCCCCGGAUCCCAGGAGAGCUGGGCUAUGACUGCAAUAAGGAGUUGUUCCUUCACCUGAGAUGUGCUUCUUUUGGUUCAUUUCUGGCUUGACAACAAGAAAUAAAUGUGGUAUGUUCCUGA
rnacentral:sRNA from 1 species